rnacentral:sRNA from 1 species
CUGCUCCCAACCCUUUGCUUAUUAUACCUUGGUUGCUUCGUAGGUCUGGCUCGUCCUACCGGAGACGUAAACGUCCUCUGGAGAGUGCCUACCGAUAGCCCAAACCAAAAACUCUUGAAAACAUGUCUUGUCUGAGUAAACAAAAAAAAUUAAAGCAAAACUUUCAACAACGGAUCUCUUGGUUCUGGCAUCGAUGAAGAACGCAGCGAAAUGCGAUAAGUAAUGCGAAUUGCAGAAUUCCAGUGAGUCAUCGAAUCUUUGAACGCACAUUGCGCCCUUUGGUAUUCCGAAGGGCAUGCCUGUUCGAGCGUCAUUUUCACCCCUCAAGCCCCCGGCUUGGUGUUGGACGGUUUGGUUUAGGUACCCCUAGACCCCUCCUAAAGACAAUGACGGCGGCUGUUGAACCCCCGGUACACUGAGCUUCUUAACUGAGCACGUAUCGGAUCUAGGGUUUGGCGGCACCCGGUCUCUACCUUUUUUGCUUACAAGG